AAAGAUUGAAAAUAACUGAGAUAGCCGAAACAAUUGGGAUACGAAGUGAACGCACAGGCAAUGUUAGAGCGCCAAGCAAAAUUCGGGUAAAUUUUUGCGUAAAUUUAUAACUUUGGACGAAUCUUACACUGUUGAAAGGUGAACCAACGCAAGCAAAGUAAAAACAUUUUUUUUUUCGAUAAAUGUUUAAUUGUUUUUUGGGACGCAAAAGGAAUUAUCUUUGUUGAUUACUUUGAGAAGGCUAAAAUCAUUACUGGUAAAUACUAUGCAAGGUUAUUGCAGCACUUGAAGGAUGGAGUGCAAAAAACGACCCCAUCUGGCGAAGAAAACAAUCACACCCGCCCAAGUUUGAAUUGUUCUCUCAUCAUAUUCAGUAGAUUUAGUAUCCUCCAACUAUCAUUUGUCGCCUAAUCUCAAAAAUGGCUCGGCGGUGAAUAAUACUGGGAAAACCAGGAAGUUAUCAAUUCUGCAAAUGGUUUGCAGGGUGUUGAGGAAUUUGAUAAUUCACACUGCUUAGCAUUGAAAUCUCGUUAAAAAAUAAAAGACAUCAGGCCGCACCUUUUUCACCCCGCUCUCUUAUUAAUAAAAACAAAAAAUGGACAAAAAUUAAACAUUAAGCAAUCAUUUACUGCUUUAAGUUAUAGAUAUAUUUUCGAAGAUUGGAAAAGUUCCUCCUGCUUUUGCAAAUAUAUCACAAAGUCAGUCUAAGCCUGUAAUAAGUUCAUGUAGAAGAAUUCUAAAUGCUAUAAAAGGUAAACUUAAAGUCACUCCACAUCAGCUAGUUGGCAAUUAUAUAAUGGAUAAUGUUAAUAGUGCAAGUGAAUGAAUUAAUAACAUAGUCAUUAGUGAGAAAUUUGAUAGAUUGACAAGAAUUUGUUUAGAUUCAUUACAUUAAAAUAAAAACAUUACGAUGGUGUGGUAUCAAACAUCUAUUAUGAUGUCAAGUUAAAACUGAAAAAUAAGAGAGUGUUAUUGCGAUUUUUUCAAAACAUUUUUUUUACUUAAUUUGAAAAGGAAAAAUGGUUUAAAACUUGCUAAUGGUGUUAGAACGAAGAACAAAAUUUUAAAAUUAGUUGUAAAGAUAUAUAGAGAAGUAGUUUGAAAUAACAUUUACGAUACCCUCUUACCGUCUUGGGCGCCUUACUUUUCUUUGUGCACCUGCUUCGAUAAAAUCUUUUGUGGUUCAUUAUUCUAAAUAUACAUUUAUGUUAUUUAAAUGGUGGGGAAGUAAGUAAUGUAAUAUUUUUAAAAUGAAAAAAUCAAUAUGGAUAAAAAGAGAAGUGAAGAACGUAAAACACACCGAGAGAAGUAAACUGUAACGGUAACUGCUUUACUGGGGAACGUAAUACCGGGUUCAUAAGUACUGUUGCGUCGAAAUUGAAAAAUCCGAUAACUCUGGAAUUUCGGUUGAUCCAACUUCACAGUUCUGUAUGAUACAAUUUGUUUUUUUACCUUUCCAUAAGCAGUAUUAUACUUUAAUAUUCUCUGGGUGGUCUGUAGAAAAGUAAAAAGGCAAUAAAAACGUACAAUCUUCCAAAUAUGAUGAAAAACGUUUGGAUGUCAAAUUUUGUGGUGCGUGUGAGAAGAAAGAUUAAAGCAGCAGCAUUUUCACCAGGAAAAAGAAAAAAAAUUUUGCAUGGUCCAGAGGGCACAUAUUAAGUGUAAAUAUUCUUUGCAUCAUAAAAAAAUCUUUAAACGGGUUUUUCUCAAGACCAUGUUUUUUUGACUGUUUGACACGAUUUAGAAAAAAAUACUGGAUUGAUCUGAUAUUUUAAUAUGUUGCUGUGUAAAUAUCUGGCUAUGGCAUAAAAUAGGAUCUUUCAGAUUGGCUGUAAAUUUCCCCAUUUUCACUGGAUUUUCUAACCUCAGAAAACGAAUUUUUCGAAAAACGUCCACCGUUUUGUCAUUUUUCAACCAAAAUCAAUAGAAUAAUAAACCACUUUAUUUAAUUUUUUUCGAUCAAGCAGAAAAGCAAAACAUGUCAACCACCACUUUCUGACAUUUUCAUUUUUUUUUUAAUUCUGAAACCGAUGCAGACAAAUCCUAAAUUUAGUUUUUUUUUUUUCUAUAUUAAUUCACUUACAAAAUUUCAUAAAGUAGACAGACCCCUUAAUUGUUUUGGGUGUGAAAGAACGAUUUUAUGCAAUCAAAUCAGAAGAUUAAGGGUCAAUCUUCUUUUUGAAAGGAUUAAUGAAAAAAUAAUUGAGGACAAUCUAGUGAAAAUGCCCAAGCCCUUUUUAGAAAAGAAAAGAGAUGAAUCACUGUAGUGUGAAUGGCAUUGUAACCCCCAAGCAUGUCGGGAAGGAAGUAGGGCCUGGUUAAUAGUAUCUCUCUAACCGUGAAUCUGGCGUGAGAUGAUUAAUGCUUGCGGUAACCGCAAGGCGCACCAUAUUACCACCAUAUUACGUGGGAACCGGUUUCGGACAGAAUACUGAAUAUGAAAUCCCGGUCUCAAAUCAAGAACUUUCCAGUAGUGCAGUCCAGUGCAGGAAGAAAUUUUUCUAUGAACAACGGAAUGUAGUUCAGGUGAGGCGUCUUAAAGGUGAUAUCCCGGUCGUGGUAGCUGACCUGAAUGCCAGGCUGGGUUCUAAUAACAUUCUGCUCGGAUGUGUGAUGGGGAUACACGGUGUUGGUGAUCGUAACGAUAAUGGUGAAAAGUUUGUAGAUUUUUUCAGUUUACAUCACCUUGUCAUUGGCAGAGCAUUAUUCGAAAGCUUAAUCGACAGAGAGCACGUUGCACGUUGAUUUCCGCUCUAGACUUCCUGAACUGGGCGGGAGAAGAUCGUAAAAGAUCACUUUGGAAAAGUGUGCGCGUUUAAAUCACCGGUCCACCUGUUCUUCAGCGAUUCCCAAACAGCUUUCGAUGAAAAGGAAUACAUGGAGUCCUCUGUCACAUGCUGGAUCGAGGCGAAAAUUCCGAAGGAUUCGAACUCCAAAACGUCAGGGCUGCAUCCUGUCACCGUUAUCAUUUUUUCUUCUUAUCGACGAGCUUCCCCACGCUGCCUUUUGUCAAAGACGUGGAGGACCUCAAUGGACAAUGACAACUUUCCUCAAAGGCCUUGACUACGUUGAUGGUAUCAACUUCCUUUCUUACAGAGUCCUGAAUCAUGGCCAAAUAGCUCCGGAUUGAGAGGAGGAGGCAAGCAGAAUUAUACUGAACACCAACAAAAUUUGUUGUAGAUGCUGGGAGUUCUGAGUCUACAACCAACAAAAAAAAAUUGCUUUUAAACUACAUGUUUAGAUGUUUAGCCCAUGUGAAUUUCGACGAGUUCAGUUUGGCAAUUUUUCAUAACUUCCGAGUGCUCGUGGGCUUUGGGUCUAAUUUUAGAGUUAAUAAAAUGCCAACCCCGACUAAAUGUAUCUAGUGGCAAAGCUGAACACUACACAGUUUGAACAGAAACAAAUUAAGGAAACAAUGCAGAAUAUUAUUUUUUUUGUAAAAAUUACUGAUGUGAAACGCGGUCGGACGUCGGUGGAUACAAGCAACGAUCAAAUUAAUUAAACCGAAAAAUCAUCUAGAAAAUAAACUGAACAAAUUGAACAUCAUUGAAGUUAUUUUGUAAAAUUUGGGACAGGAAAUAAAUAAAACUGGAGAUGAAUAAUA